ACUUUCAAAGGAUCAUAGUCUAAUCC
rnacentral:tRNA from 1 species